rnacentral:lncRNA from 1 species
UUUUCAGAAUGAGAAACAUUGCAUUAAUUCAUGAGGGUAAAUGAAAGACAAACAAACACGAGAUGGCUUUUUUUUUCUCGUCUCCUUUUCAAAUCUCAGGUUACACUGAAACAAUUACUCUCUCGUGUGUCAGGCAGUUGCCUGCACAGGAAAUAUGAUUAUAUUUUAGAGAAUGUACGUGACGUCCACCUGUUGAAGGGGAGUGCCAUGUGUGCGUGUUCUAAUGAUUGUCCUGUGAAAAGGCAAAGGCACUUUACUGUGCAUGGAGGAAAGAACUGCUCUUUGUGAGCCAACGAAAUGCAUUUGUGAUGUUUGUGCUGUUGAUUUGUUUGGAUUUGGACCGUGGGAAGUUAUGUACCAUGAAAAUGAAGACACCGCCAUGAAAGAUCGCUUCCUCGCGUUUGCUGGCGCCAAUAGAAAAAAGAAACCAACUUUUGACAUCAGAGUCCCAACAUGGUUACAGCUCUGCCUGCUGGUUGUCCUGUUAGCGCGUCAGGUAUCCUGUAAUCAGAAUGCAGAUUCAGUUUAUUACUUUUUGAACGUAACAGUCGACAUCACUGGAGACAGAAGCAAUGUGUCUGACAUUACUGACUGGCUCAACCAGGCAUUUCAAAACAAUUUGGAGACCUUUGUGUUUUCAAAUCGUGAAGAACCUACAUCACCCAUCGUACACGCAACUACUGCUGCCAACAUAACACUACAUACCACACAAACUGUCCCAGUAGAUACCUUACAAAGCAGUAUUACUACCACAGCCUCGAGUAUUAUAAUAUUACCUCAUUCAAACACAACCGAGGCUUCAAAUACAACUAUAGAAAACGACAACACGACACCCUCUACUGUAAACACAGCGCAAAGCCAAAACACAGCCACAGUCCUGAAUAGAACAACACAUCAAAGUCAAGACACAACUACAGCUGUAAAUACAACAGGGACAAAUCAAAACACAACUACAGCCUUAAAUACGACAACAGAGCAAAGCAGUAACACAGCAACAGCCUCAAAUAAGCCAACAAACCAAACCCAAAGCACAACUACAGCAAUAGAUACAAUAGAGCAAAACCACAACACAACUAUAGCCCCUAAUAUGACAACAAAACAAAGCCAAAUCACAACUACACCUGUAAAUACAAUAGAGCAAAACCGUAACCAAACAGCUGGUAAUACAACGAACCCAAGCCGUAACACAACUACAGUUGUAGAUACUUUAGAACAAAAUCAAAACACAACUGCAGCCCCAAAUAUGACAACAGAGCAAGGUGGUAACACAACAGCCACAAUAGCACAAAACCAAAUCAUGACUACAGCCCCAAACGUGACAACAAACCAAACUACAGCGAUAGAUACAAAAGAACAAAACCGUAACACAACUACAGCUGUGAAUACAACAAACCAAAACCAAAACACAAUUAAUGCUUUAAAUACGACAAUAGAACAAAGUGAAAUCACAACCACAGCCCCAGUAACGACAACAGAACAACACCAAAUCACGACAACCACAAGUAUGAUGACAGAGCAAAACCAGAACACAACCACAGCUCUUGUUAUGACAAUGGAACAAAACCAGACCACAACUACAGUUCUUGAUAUGACAACAGAACAAACACAAAUCACGACAACCCCAAGUAUAACAGAGCAAAACCAGAACACAACCACAGCUCUUGUUAUGACAACGGAACAAAACCAGACCACAACUACAGCUCUUGAUGUGACAACAGAACAAACCCAGAACACAACCACAGUUCUUGAUGUGACAACAGAACAAAACCAGAACACAACCACAGCUCUUGUUAUGACAAUGGAACAAAACCAGACCACAACUACAGCUCUUGAUGUGACAACAGAACAAAACCAGAACACAACCACAGCUCUUGAUGUGACAACAGAACAAACCCAGAACACAACCACAGCUCUUGAUGUGACAACAGAACAAACCCAGAACACAACCACAGCUCUUGAUGUGACAACAGAACAAACCCAGACAACAACUACAGUUCUUGAUGUGACAACAGAACAAAACCAGAACACAACCACAGCAAUUGAUGUGACAACAGAACAAAACCAGAACACAACCACAGCCACAAUAUUGACAACAGAGCAAAACCAGAACACAACUACAGUUCUUGAUGUGACAACAGAACAAAACCAGAACACAACCACAGCAAUUGAUGUGACAACAGAACAAAACCAGAACACAACCACAGCCACAAUAUUGACAACAGAACAAACCCAGACCACAACUACAGUUCUUGAUGUGACAACAGAACAAAACCAGAACACAACCACAGCAAUUGAUGUGACAACAGAACAAAACCAGAACACAACCACAGCCACAAUAUUGACAACAGAGCAAAACCAGAACACAACUACAGUUCUUGAUGUGACAACAGAGCAAAACCAGAACACAACUACAGUUCUUGAUGUGACAACAGAACAAAACCAGAACACAACCACAGCAAUUGAUGUGACAACAGAACAAAACCAGAACACAACCACAGCUCUUGUUAUGACAAUGGAACAAAACCAGACCACAACUACAGCUCUUGAUGUGACAACAGAACAAAACCAGAACACAACCACAGCUCUUGAUGUGACAACAGAACAAACCCAGAACACAACCACAGCUCUUGAUGUGACAACAGAACAAACCCAGAACACAACCACAGCUCUUGAUGUGACAACAGAACAAACCCAGACAACAACUACAGUUCUUGAUGUGACAACAGAGCAAAACCAGACCACAACCACAGCUCUUGAUGUGACAACAGAACAAAACCAGAACACAACCACAGCCACAAUAUUGACAACAGAGCAAAACCAGAUCACAACUACAGUUCUUGAUGUGACAACAGAACAAAACCAGAACACAACCACAGCAAUUGAUGUGACAACAGAACAAAACCAGAACACAACCACAGCCACAAUAUUGACAACAGAGCAAAACCAGAACACAACUACAGUUCUUGAUGUGACAACAGAGCAAAACCAGAACACAACUACAGUUCUUGAUGUGACAACAGAACAAAACCAGAACACAACCACAGCAAUUGAUGUGACAACAGAACAAAACCAGAACACAACCACAGCAAUUGAUGUGACAACAGAACAAAACCAGAACACAACCACAGCAAUUGAUGUGACAACAGAACAAAACCAGAACACAACCACAGCAAUUGAUGUGACAACAGAACAAAACCAGAACACAACCACAGCCACAAUAUUGACAACAGAGCAAAACCAGAACACAACUACAGUUCUUGAUGUGACAACAGAGCAAAACCAGACCACAACUACAGUUCUUGAUGUGACAACAGAACAAACCCAGAACACAACCACAGCUCUUGAUGUGACAACAGAACAAACCCAGAACACAACCACAGCCACAAUAUUGACAACAGAGCAAAACCAGAACACAACCACAGCUCUUGAUGUGACAACAGAACAAACCCAGACAACAACUACAGUUCUUGAUGUGACAACAGAACAAACCCAGAACACAACCACAGCCACAAUAUUGACAACAGAGCAAAACCAGAACACAACCACAACUCUUGAUGUGACAACAGAGCAAAACCAGAACACAACCACAGCCACAAUAUUGACAACAGAGCAAAACCAGAUCACAACCACAGCUCUUGAUGUGACAACAGAGCAAAACCAGAACACAACCACAACUCUUGAUGUGACAACAGAGCAAAACCAGAACACAACCACAGCCACAAUAUUUACAACAGAGCAAAACCAGAACACAACUACAGUUCUUGAUGUGACAACAGAACAAAACCAGAUCACAACUACAGUUCUUGAUGUGACAACAGAACAAAACCAGAACACAACUACAGUUCUUGAUGUGACAACAGAACAAAACCAGAUCACAACCACAGCCACAAUAUUGACAACAGAGCAAAACCAGAACAUAACCACAACCACAAUAUUGACAACAGAACAAAACCAGAACACAACUACAGCUCUUGAUGUGACAACAGAACAAAACCAGAACACAACUACAGUUCUUGAUGUGACAACAGAACAAAACCAGAACACAACUACAGUUCUUGAUGUGACAACAGAACAAAACCAGAACACAACUACAGCUCUUGAUGUGACAACAGAACAAAACCAGAUCACAACCACAGCUCUUGAUGUGACAACAGAACAAAACCAGAACACAACCACAGCCACAAUAUUGACAACAGAGCAAAACCAGAACACAACCACAGCCCCUAUAUUGACAACAGAGCAAAACCAGAUCACAACCACAGCCCCUAUAUUGACAACAGAACAAAACCAGAACACAACUACAGUUCUUGAUGUGAUAACAAAGCAAAACCAGAACACAAAUACAGUUCUUGCUGUUUCUACAGAGCAAAACCAGAACACAACCGCAACUCCUGAAAUGACAACAAAGCAAAACCAAAACGCAAAUACAGUUCUUGAUAUGACAACAGCGCAAGGACAAAUCACAACAACCCCAAGUUUGACAACAGACCAAAACCAGAACACAACCACAGUUAUUGAUGUGACAACAGUGCAAAACGAGGACACAACUACAGCUCUUGAUGUGACAACAGUGCAAAACGAGAACACAACUACAGUUCUUGAUUUGACAACAAACCAACGACAAAUCAUGACAACCCCAAGUAUGACAACAAAACAAAACCAGAACACAAUUACAGUUCUUGAUGUGACAACAGAGCAAAAACAAAAUGCCACCUCAAGUACAACAACCCCAAAUACAAAUGAUACAUUUCAAAAUGGAAAAACAACUACAGCCUCAAAGACCCAAACACAGCAAAGACAAAACACAAGCACAACCACAAAAGUCACUGUAGAGACAGGCCAAAGUACAAUUAUUGAGCCGAAUACCCCAGCAGUGAAAAACCAAAGCACAACCACAAUUCCAAAAACCACAACAGAGCAAGUCCAAAAUGCAACCAGAAUUCUGAAAAACACAACAACCUCAAACGAUCAAACAACACAACCCCAGAACACAGCCAUGACAACAGAAGCUGAAGGUCAUAUAGCAUUUACAACCCUAAAAAACACAAUCCAAAUUCCAAACACAACUACAUCCUCAAAUACAACAGAAAUAUUGAGUCCAAUAGUAGGUAUAGCCUCAAAUAACACAUUAGUUACGAGCACAGCAGCACAAAGCAAUGAGAGUGAUUUAUCUUUAAAUGUGACUCAAGCACAAAGCUACAACAUAACCACAACACAACAUAUCCAAAACACAACGGCAGUACAAGUUAACAACAUAACCAUAGCACAGACAAACACAUCCCUCCAAAGCCACAUUGAAACUACAAAUACAAACACAACUCUACAAAGUAAAAAAACAACCACCGGCUCAAAUGUAACAAAAAUACAAAACACUUUUUCUUCUCACAAAGCAAGCACUGUCAUCAAUGAAAGCUCAAGUACAACAGUAGCGCAAACUACUGACCAAAACACGAUGUUACCCAAAAUACCACAAACCCACACCACAACUACAGAAUCAAUCCCGAACGCUCAACAAACUGUAAUGAGUACAACCCAAACUGCAAAAACGCAAAGCUAUACAACAACUACAGAAUCAAAUAUCCUGACUGCUCAACAAACUGUCACAAGUACAACCCCAACCGCAACAACACAAACCUAUGAGACAACUACAGCAUCAAAACAAACCCAAAAUCCAAUUACAGUUUGGACUGUUACAGAGGAAAGCCUGGAUACAAACUACAAUAAUCUACUUGCUAAUGUAACUGACACCUUGUCAACCAUACUUAUAGAUCUAAUUAAUGUAAUAACAACCUCAACUGAUACAUUAGAAGACAACACAACACCUGCUCCACACACCGAAACAACUACAAACCAAAAUAAUGCACUGAUCAAGAACCCAACCACAAAACCACAUAUCAAAUCACAAGGAACACAUUCUAUUUUACAAAGUCACAGUACUACUCCAGCAAUUAAUGCUGCAACAGAAACCCCCAUUGUAUCUAUAACCCCACCAACUACAACCUUCCAACACACCAGUAUGACCCAAUCUACAACUACAAAUACAUUACAAAGCAUUGGUAUAACUACAGAAACACAAGCUGCAACACUUCUAAUUAACAAAACACACACGGCUACCAAAACCCCAACAUCAUCAGGCAGCAGUAACCAUAUGGCAAAUAUAGACCUGGAAUUAGUGGGACUUAAAAGGAGACGUCGGGAAGUCAGUGGCAUUGGGACAACCAGAAGGAUUUCUACUGGAUGCCUAACAGCUCUGUAA